rnacentral:rRNA from 1 species
UACGAAGGGGGCGAGCGUUGUUCGGAUUUACUGGGCGUAAAGGGCGCGCAGGCGGCCGCUCAAGUCAGGCGUGAAAGCCCCGGGCUUAACCUGGGAACUGCGUCUGGGACUGAGUGGCUAGAGUUCGGGAGAGGAGAGUGGAAUUCCCAGUGUAGAGGUGAAAUGCGUAGAUAUGUGGAGGAACACCGGUGGCGAAGGCGGCUUUCUGGACAGUAACUGACGCUGAGGCGCGAAAGCUAGGGGAGCAAACAGG